rnacentral:rRNA from 1 species
GUCCACGCUGUAAACGAUGGGAACUAGGUUUGGUGGGUCUUGACCCCCGCCGAAUCGGAGCUAACGCAAUAAGUUCCCCGCCUGGGAAGUACGGUCGCAAGACUAAAACUCAAAGGAAUUGACGGGGGCCCGCACAAGCGGUGGAUCAUGUGGUUUAAUUCGAAGCAACGCGAAGAACCUUACCUGGGUUUGACAUCCUUUGACAUCCGUAGAGAUACGGCCUUCGUAGCAAUACGACAAAGAGACAGGUGCUGCAUGGCUGUCGU